AAGUACCUGAAGGAAGAGAAAGAAAUUCGAUUCCGUAAGUAGCGGCGAGCGAACGCGGAUUAGCCCAAACCAAUAAAGUUUUCUUUAUUGGGGUUGCGGACAUAUCAUAACGAAGAGGUAUCGUAAUUGAAGAGGUUUGGAAAGACCCACCACAGAAGGUAAUAGUCCUGUAUGUUAAACGAGAAGACUUCAGAUAUGAUCCAGAGUACCACGGGACACGUGAAACCCUGUGGGAAGCAGGAGGGACCACCCUCCAAGGCUAAAUACUACCUAGUGACCGAUAGCGUAUAGUACCGUGAGGGAAAGGUGAAAAGAACCCCGGGAGGGGAGUGAAAUAGAACCUGAAACCCUGCACUUACAAGCUGUGGAAGCACAUUUCUUGUGUGACCGCGUACUUUUUGUAGAACGGGCCAACGAGUUACGUUAAGUAGCAAGGUUAAGCACUUAAGGUGUGGAGCCGUAGCGAAAGCGAGUUUUAACUGAGCGUUCAGUUACUUGACGUAGACCCGAAACCGGGCGACCUACCCAUGAGCAGGAUGAAGCGAAAGUAAAAUUUCGUGGAGGUCCGAACCCACGAGCGUUGAAAAGCUCGGGGAUGACUUGUGGGUAGCGGUGAAAUUCCAAUCGAGCCCGGAGAUAGCUGGUUCUCCCCGAAAUAGCUUUAGGGCUAGCCUCAAGGUGAGAGAUACGGAGGUAGAGCACUGAAUGUCCUAGGGGGUAUUGCACCUACCGAAGACUAUCAAACUCCGAAUGCCGUCAUCUUAUACUUGGGAGUCAGACUGUGGGUGAUAAGAUUCAUAGUCGAAAGGGCAACAGCCCAGAUCGUCAGCUAAGGUCCCUAAAUGUAAGUUAAGUGGUAAAGGAUGUGGGAUUGCACAGACAACCAGGAUGUUGGCUUAGAAGCAGCCACUCAUUCAAAGAGUGCGUAAUAGCUCACUGGUCGAGUGAUCCUGCGCCGAAGAUUUCCGGGGCUAAAACUUACUACCGAAGCUACGGCAUCAGUAAUGAUGGGUAGGGGAGCUUCCCAUACGGGUUGAAGCAUGACCGUAAGGACAUGUGGACAGUAUGGGAGUGAGAAUGUUGGCAUGAGUAGCGAGAUGUGGGUGAGAAUCCCACAGGCCGUAAACCCAAGGUUUCCAGGGGAAGGUUCGUCCGCCCUGGGUUAGUCGGGACCUAAGCUGAGGCCGAAAGGCGUAGGUGAUGGACAACAGGUUGAUAUUCCUGUACUACCGAUAACCGUUUGAGAGAAGGGAUGACACAGUAGGAUAAGCUAAGCACACUGUUGGUUAUGUGUGCCCAAGCAUUGAGGCAGUCAAAGUAGGCAAAUCCGCUUUGAUAAUGCUGGGAUGUGAUGGGGAGCGAAAUUUAGUAGCGAAGUAGCUGAUUUCACACUGUCAAGAAAAGUCUCUAUCGAGGUUAAAGGUACCCGUACCGCAAACCGACACAGGUGGGUGAGGAGAGUAUCCUAAGGCCAGCGAGAGAACUGUUGUUAAGGAACUCGGCAAAAUGACCCCGUAACUUAGGGAUAAGGGGUGCCACCAUCAGGUGGCCGCAGAGAAUAGGCCCAAGCGACUGUUUACCAAAAACAUAGGUUUCUGCUAAGUCGCAAGACGAUGUAUAGGAGCUGACGCCUGCCCGGUGCUGGAAGGUUAAGGGGAUCUGUUAGAGCAAUCGAAGCAGUGAACUUAAGCCCCAGUAAACGGCGGCCGUAACUAUAACGGUCCUAAGGUAGCGAAAUUCCUUGUCGGGUAAGUUCCGACCCGCACGAAAGGCGUAACGAUUUGGGCACUGUCUCAACAACAGACUCGGUGAAAUUGUAAUUCCGGUGAAGAUGCCGGAUACCUGCGACAGGACGGAAAGACCCCAUGGAGCUUUACUGUAGCUUGACAUUGGGUCUUGGUACUACAUGUACAGGAUAGGUGGGAGGCUUUGAAACCAGGACGCCAGUUUUGGCGGAGCCAUCCUUGGGAUACCACCCUUGUAGUACUGGGACUCUAACCAUAGGCCAUGAAUCUGGUCUUGGGACACUGUCAGGUGGGCAGUUUGACUGGGGCGGUCGCCUCCCAAAAGGUAACGGAGGCGCUCAAAGGUUCUCUCAGUACGGUCGGAAAUCGUACGUAGAGUGUAAAGGCAAAAGAGAGCUUGAUUGCAAGACAUACAGGUCGAGCAAGGAUGAAAAUCGGACUUAGUGAUCCGGUGGUUCUGCGUGGAAGGGCCAUCGCUCAACGGAUAAAAGCUACCCUGGGGAUAACAGGCUUAUCUCCCCCAAGAGUCCACAUCGACGGGGAGGUUUGGCACCUCGAUGUCGGCUCAUCACAUCCUGGGGCUGUAGUAGGUCCCAAGGGUUGGGCUGUUCGCCCAUUAAAGUGGUACGCGAGCUGGGUUCAGAACGUCGUGAGACAGUUCGGUCCCUAUCCGUCGCAGGCGUAGGAAAUUUGAGAAGACCUGUCCUUAGUACGAGAGGACCGGGAUGGACGUACCUCUGGUGUACCAGUUGUUCUGCCAAGGGCAUGGCUGGGUAGCUAUGUACGGAAUGGAUAAGCGCUGAAAGCAUCUAAGCGCGAAGCCAACUUCAAGAUAAGAUUUCCCACCGCAAGGGUAAGACCCCAGAAAGACUAUCUGGUUGAUAGGUCGAAGGUGUAAGUGCAGCAAUGUAUUUAGCUUAUCGAUACUAAUAGGUCGAGGACUUGACCAA
rnacentral:rRNA from 1 species